GGAGUUGGCCAGGCAGUCGCCCCGCUUGCGGGGAGGAAAGUCCGGGCUCCACAGGGCAGGGUGCCAGGUAACACCUGGGGGACGCGAGUCCAUGGAAAGUGCCACAGAAAAUAUACCGCCUGCCAGCGUAUUCGUACGCGAAGCGGGUAAGGGUGAAAUGGUGCGGUAAGAGCGCACCGCGCGUCUGGUAACAGGCGUGGCAGGGUAAACCCCAUCCGGAGCAAGACCAAAUAGGGGAACGAUCAUGCGGCCCGCAUGGUUCCCGGGUAGGUCGCUCGAGGUGCACGGUGACGUGCAUCCCAGAUGAAUGACUG
rnacentral:RNase_P_RNA from 1 species